rnacentral:rRNA from 1 species
AGCAGCCGCGGUAAUUCCAGCUCCAAUAGCGUAUAUUAAAGUUGUUGCAGUUAAAAAGCUCGUAGUUGAAUUUCGGGAUCAAAUUGUCGGUCGUGCCUCGGUACGUACUGGCGUUAUUGGUUCCUCCCUUCUGAAGAACCGCGAUGUCAUUAAUUUGGUGUCGCGGGGAAUCAGGACUGUUACUUUGAAAAAAUUAGAGUGUUUAAAGCAGGCUCGCGCUUGAAUACAUUAGCAUGGAAUAAUGAAAUAGGACGUUUGAUUCUAUUUGUUGGUUUCUAGGAUCGACGUAAUGAUUAACAGGGAUAGUUGGGGGCAUUAGUAUUCAAUUGUCAGAGGUGAAAUUCUUGGAUUUAUUGAAGACUAACUACUGCGAAAGCAUUUGCCAAGGAUGUUUUCAUUAAUCAAGAACGAAAGUUAGGGGAUCGAAGACGAUCAGAUACCGUCGUAGUCUUAACCAUAAACUAUGCCGACUAAGGGAUCGGAUGAUGUUAAUUUUU